rfam:Gordonia effusa NBRC 100432 DNA, contig: GOEFS075.
AACGGUCCUCGGUAGUGGCUGCCGGAGCCUAAGGGUUCCGACAGCUUCGAUCGAAGGCCGUC